rnacentral:lncRNA from 1 species
UUUCUACUUGAAAGUGAUAAUGAAAAAGAUGCUCAAUAUGUAUACCACAAUCAAAUUUAGUUUCUUUCUUUUAAAUAAGGAAAGGAGCAUGUGGUGGAGGAGGUGGAUAGUCUGAAAAUCUUUGACUUGGCCCAGAUGGAGGAAUACGCAUACCUUUCGGUAAUAUUCCAAAGUUAAGUCUAGAUUCCUUGUGUAAAACUUUGAAUGGGGAAGGUGGAGAGUCUGAAAAUCUUUGACUUGGCCCAGAUGGAGGAAUACGUCGACCUUUUGGUAAUAUUCCAAAGUUAAUUCGAGAUUCCUUAUGUAAGACAAUGGAUGGGAGAGGAGGAGAGUCUGAAGAUCUUUGACUUCGUCUAGAUGGAGGAAUACGGACAUCUUUUGAGAAUAUUCCAAAACUGAAAUGUGUAUCUGAAUCAGGCAUUCCUUCGGGUUUCGAAAGUGAAAAAUGGAUAUUUUGUUUUGGAUGAAUUAUAAUGGGCGCCUUAAAUUUACUUUGAAAAAGAGAGUUGUCUUCAUUGACAUCAAACAAACUUCUACCAUGUGUUUGAUAGAUUCCAAAGUGCACCCCAAGGAGUACGAGAGCACAAGUUCUCAAUGCCAUAUUAGAACUAAUUGUCACCAUUUUUGUUGUGUGUUUUCUCUUCGUCUAUUUCUCCUUUUUAUAUAGUGAUUGUUUCUUAAUAAAAAUUAAGGAUAAAUUUGGCAUAGCACCUAAAAAUAAAAUUUUAGUUUUAUAUAAACAACAAAAACACAAUGGGUUUGUUAGAGUAAUCUUCUUUGUAAGAAUAUUUAGAAUAAAACUAACAAUCUAAAAUUGACCCUUUGUUUACACGUUACCUUAAUUCAAUAGAGUCUUCUCAAUUUGGAUGAAUAGAAAUCCACUAAUAUAAUGACCCUUUGAUUACUCUACAUACCUGGAGUAAAUCAUCGUUGCUCCCGUCCUUUGGUAUUACCAGAUUAAGUUUUAAAGUUUUGAUUACGCUGCUGAGGCAUGACUCUUAUAACAUAUCAACCAUUAGACAUGUUAUAGAAGCUACUAACUACUUUAACUUUAAACUUUAGCUCUAACUUCAUCUUAGACUUCCCUUAACUGAUCUAUUCCUUUCCCUUACUUUCUCUACCUCACAAAGAACUAUUUGUUCUUACUAACAUGACUUACACUUCACUCCCCAAAGACUAAACUCUUGCUCUAAUACCAAGUUGUCAUGUCACGUCUCGGACCAAGCAGGCAGGUGCUCUAGACAGGGUGUGACACUGUAGAUGAAAGCUUAAGGGUUGAGUAGAGUCCAUCUCUUACUUCCCAUGACUUGUACUAUUCAUUUCUUUUAUCUUUCAUUUUUGUAUUUCUUUGUAAUGUAUUUGUUCAUAUUGUACAGUAACCAAAGGCCUACAUUCUUUAAUACAUUACAUGUUUAUACCUUUUGAAUCCAUCAAAUCUUUACUAUUCAUCUGUCAAUUUGUUAUUUGUAGUUUAGGUUUGUGAUAAGUUCUUGAUAAGAAGCUUAGCUUAUAACUCUUAUCGCAUUAGCUAAUCUAUAUUAAUCACUUGACCCGUGUUUAUCGACAACUAUCCGAGAGGACAAGUAGCAAAGAUAUGGUUAACGCGUGCAAAGAGGAGUUUGGAAACAAACUCCAUCUUGACAAGAUAACUUCCAUCAUUUGUAUCCUAAAAGGAGAAGAAGUGUGGGUGUUUAGCGUCGAGAGGUUGUCACCCUUAAAAGAGAAGCUUCAUAAGUUUUGUAAGUGAAAUGUUCUAGAUAUGCCUUGCUUAACCAAGUGUGGUGUUUAAUGACACCAAGAGAUUCUUGCCUUAAUCAUAAGCUAGUUAACUAACUUAUGUCGCAUCAAGGCUUUCAUAUUGCUAAUGGCCUAGUAGUGUAGAGACCUUCCUUCUCCCUUUUCUUAUACACAAGUUAGUUCCCACCUCUAUUUCGCCUCCAUCCUAAUUUCCUUUAUAGAUUCUCUUCCGUUGAUAAGUAUAUAUAGUAUAUAAACUUACACUUCUUUACACUAUUUAGUUAAUUCCUUAAUUUUAUACUACCCGAAGGAAGAGUAAUCCCUAGAACUAAUGCUUUGAUAUCAAUUUCCUCUGUCUGACCUUGGAUUAUCCAGGAAACCUAUUGUUUUGCUUACACUUGAGCAAGGACUAGGAAAACUUGUACUCAACAAGGACUUAGUAAUUACAUGAUGAAGAGGUAAAUAGUGAGCAUAUAGUAUGCAGUGACCAUGACCAAUGACUCACCAUGUAGAGUUAGCGCGACACCAACAUAUACAAUAACACUAUUCCCCAAGUCCGAACAAAUGCUUCCAAGUCAACAAGCUGAUACACAUAACAUAAGAUAAAACAAUUGUUUCAAACAAGAAGGUGAUUCGUAAAAACUAUAUCACUUGGUACUUUUUUUCUCCUUUAUUUAAUCAUAUUGUUAAAAUAGAAAACAUCUAAUAAAAGGGAUAUGCUAGGCAUCAAGGUUAAAGAGAGCAAAUGAAAUUUAUUUCAUAAAGUAUUGAUGAAAUUUAUUUAAUCUUACAUAUAGAAAGCACUACAUGACAAGAAGCACUUCACGAUGAAGAACAUCAUGGUUUCUGCAGGCAAUUAAUAUUCUUAGUUAUCUAGCAAUUAGUACUUCACAAGGGCAUGACUUGUGAAUAUAGUAGGUUAUCUUUGUACAUCUAAUUUUGAUCAACAUUUGUAAAAUUUUGCUUUCAAAUUGUAGGAAAAACAAAAUGUUGUGACGUGACAAACGAACUACUUCCUUGAAAGAAAAAAUCGAUGCUACCUUAUGCUAAAUCAAAUAUGUCAGUUGCUCCCCAAGUUUAACACAACUUUUCAACUCAAGCAUGCACUAGUGGGAGAAGAAAUGAAAUCUAAAGAAAAAAACUUCCUCUAAGGAAAAAGAUAGGGUGUUUGGAAAGAAAAAGAACCAACCCCAUAAAUCUUUUCUUUAAAAUAUAUAAAAAGAAUAAUAAUUUUAGAACUAUAAAAUGUAUUGAAUAUAUCAUUAUAACCAUCAAAAUAAUAAUAAUUAUUAUUACAUUAAAUUCCAAUUGAAACAUUAAUUAUAAAUCAGUACAAUGAUAGUCAUUUUCAACACCUUUCUACUUGAAAGUGAUAAUGAAAAAUAUGCUCAAUAUGUAUACCACAAUCAAAUUUAGUUUCUUUCUCUUAAAUAAGGAAAGGAGCAUGGGGUGAAGGAGGUGGAUAGUCUGAAAAUCUUUGACUUGGCCCAGAUGGAGGAAUACGCAUACCUUUCGGUAAUAUUCCAAAGUUAAGUCUAGAUUCCUUGUGUAAAACAUUGAAUGGGGAAGGUGGAGAGUCUGAAAAUCUUUGACUUGGCCCAGAUGGAGGAAUACGUCGACCUUUUGGUAAUAUUCCAAAGUUAAUUCGAGAUUCCUUAUGUAAGACAAUGGAUGGGAGAGACGGAGAGUCUAAAGAUCUUUGACUUGGUCCAGAUGGAGAAAUACGGACAUCUUUUGAGAAUAUUCCAAAACUGAAAUGUGUAUCUGAAUCAGGCAUUCCUUCGGGUUGCGAAAGUGAAAAAUGGAUAUUUUGUUUUGGAUGAAUUAUAAUGGGCGCCUUAAAUUUACUUUCAAAAAGAGAGUUGUCUUCAUUGACAUUAAACAAACUUCUACCAUGUGUUUGAUAGAUUCCAAAGUGCACCCCAAGGAGUACGAGAGCACAAGUUCUCAAUGCCAUAUUAGAACUAAUUGUCAC